UUCUAGAAACUAACACCGUUUACUGCACCUCCUUGCUACACCACUAUCCUGCACGAAAAUUCCUGACCAGUGCGACACAUUCCUUCUAUCCUCUGUCGCGCUUAGUUACCACCUGUGCUACCAAACUUCUAAGACAACACUUCAACGAUGGACGCCUGGGCCCAAGAGGCUAUGCGCCCUAAACCAACAACAACAACUGAAGCUGUUUAUCAUGCGGGCCUCCUCUCACUUGUUUCGCAUUUUAAUCUUGCAGGUUGGCGGGCAUGACCGAUAUAUUAUAUUGUUGGGGUGGGCUGGAUGAGCCUGUCUGUCAGCAAAAAUGCGAAAGGUGCUGACAUUUUGUGUGGGGAGCAGAGAGAAGCCUGCCCUUAAAAGGCCAAAUGCUGACACAAUUGAACUGAACAAAAACACAAGUUGAAACCAGCCAAAAACAAGCGUUAUCAUGUUUUUAUCACAACUGCUGCUGUCAACAGACAGGUGAGGCUAGCUCCAAGGGCGCAGCAACACCGCAAGUAAAACGAAGAACGACCGCUUUCUGAAGCAAGUUUUUCGUGCAUAAUCAUGCACCAGCGCUGAACUCUCAGGAGAAGCGCGUGGGCAGCCCACCCAGCCUGCUCCCAGCCCUUGCUGGUCCGGCCCAUGUCGAGACGUCGCUACGGCAGCAGACACGACCUGUCACGCUGUCCCACCGCCGCGCUUAACGCCAUCACUCGCCGUCGUCACCUCCGCGGUCAGCGCAACGAGCACCCGAGACUCAGCCGUCGGCAGUCGUUGAGAGCCGCCCGAAAAGGCCAGCGUUGUGCCUCGGAAAGACGCCGAGGAGCACUACAGGCAAUGACGUACUGAGCCGACAGGCGCCGGGAUGGGCGCCGGUUAAUUGCGUCUCGGGCAAGGCGCGCAAUCAUCUAGGGCGCCAAGUGCUGACACUUCCACCUCCUUCGCAAAACACGUGCGUUUGGGCGGCGAUCGCUGGAGGCGCGGGGUCGAAACGGAGCGGCAAAGUGGAGCAGUCUGUACCCUCGGGAGGAACGUCGCGGGCGCAGCAAUCAGCAGACGUGCGGGGACUGUGCUGGAGACAGUUCUCGGUGCCUGAGGUGACCGCCGCUCCGGACAGCACUUGUGCGUUUGUAUUGGUCGACGUUGUUUUGGCUCGAUGCCGAUUAGGUUUCGCAACGCGUUUAACGUGGACAUUGGCGCAAAUACAGGGGCUCGGUCGCGGUACACGCUGCCCGACAAUCUUGGUCCUGAGCAAUGUCCCGCGCUCGGAAUGACUUGGUUCUGAUCAGUCGGUGCAUAUUGGGUAACACAACAACAUGGGGUUUCAGUAUCUGAUAAAGGCCCCGCACCGAACUUUUGCCAGGCCCGCAAUUCGCAGGAUGGGCGAUCGCGAUGUUUUGCAAUGAGCACCAACUGCACCUUUAACUGACCUUUCCACAGCCAUCCUGACGUCAAGGUAGGAAAAGGCCAAGUUCUCCGUUCCCAACAAACUGACGACUGUGAAUGGAGUUGAGAAUAAAUGGGCGCCAAGCGGUGUCCGUAUGCUGA